UCCCUGGUGGUCCAGUGGCUAAGACUCCACACUUUCAAUGCAGGGGGCCCAGGUUCCAUCCCUGCUCAGGGAA
rnacentral:tRNA from 1 species